UGCGGAGGGUGCAAGCGUUAUCCGGAUUUACUGGGUUUAAAGGGUGCGCAGGCGGAUAUGUAAGUCAGUGGUGAAAUCUCUAGGCUUAACCUGGAAAUUGCCGUUGAUACUAUAUAUCUUGAAUGCUGUGGAGGUAAGCGGAAUAUGUCAUGUAGCGGUGAAAUGCUUAGAUAUGACAUAGAACACCUAUUGCGAAGGCAGCUUACUAAACGAUCAUUGACGCUGAGGCACGAAAGCGUGGGGAUCAAACAGG
rnacentral:rRNA from 1 species